rnacentral:rRNA from 1 species
AACCCGGCAGCAGGAGUGCUGUCAUCCGAAAGGAAGGGAACCCGGUGAACUGAAACAUCUAAGUAGCCGGAGGAAAAGGAAUCAACAGAGAUACCCUCAGUAGCGGCGAGCGAAGAGGGCAGAGCCCAAACCAGAGCGGGAAACCGCUGUGGGGUUGCGGACUGCUAACAAAUGGUUGGACGAAGCAGAACCAGUUGGGAAACUGGGCCAGAGACGGUGAGAGCCCGGUA